rnacentral:rRNA from 1 species
GCUUAACACAUGCAAGUCGAGCGAGAAUCGUUUAUUGAAGGCUUCGGCUGGAAAUAGAUGAGGAAAGCGGCGAACGGGUGAGUAACGCGUGGGCAACCUGGCCGUAAGAAAAGGAUAGCCCGCGGAAACGGGGAGUAAUACUUUAUUAGAAUAGAAAAGGGCAUCUUAUUUCUAUUCAAAGCGCAAGCGCUUAAGGAUGGGCCCGCGUAUCAUUAGCUAGUUGGUGAGAUAACAGCCCACCAAGGCAACGAUGAUUAGCCGGUCUGAGAGGGCGAACGGCCACAUUGGAACUGAGAGACGGUCCAAACUCCUACGGGAGGCAGCAGUGGGGAAUAUUGCGCAAUGGAGAAGAACUCUGACGCAGCAAUACCGCGUGAGCGAAGAAGGUCUUCGGAUCGUAAAGCUCUGUUAUCAGGGAAGAAGAAAAUGACGGUACCUGAUGAGCAAGUCCCGGCUAACUACGUGCCAGCAGCCGCCGUAAGAC